AUUGGGUGUCCCUUGGAAUGCAAAUAUUUUGAGGAUCGAAUUGGUGAAAAAUAAGUUCUCCUAAUUUCCUAAGAUUAGGGUGGUUGAUUUGCGUCAGACACGGCUAUUUGGUGGUCUAUGUCUUUGGGAGGUUUUCAUCGAAGUAAGUUUGUGGGCAGGACAACCAUUCAGCGUAGUUGUCACUCUUUCAGGAUUGGCGGUGAGAAACGGGUACCUACGUAUUUGGGGUUCGAGGACUUUGUGGUGAACGUUCUUUAGGCGAUUGCAGAGGAUUUAUUGGUAUUUAAGUUUUUAUCGAGGCUUAUGUGUGAUUUCUCCUGAUUUUGUUCAUUUUCUGACAGCGUUGGAACUUUACGUUGGUUUUGUUGUUCCUCAGUAUGAUUGGGGUUUCCUUAGAUGGCAUUUAUUGAGUGGUUUUAUUUCACACGGAACAAAUUUUGUAUUCUUAUGGUUUUCUGUUCUUGAUUUGCUUACCUUUACUUUUCCUUUCUUUUCCCUUUCUAUACAGGAUUUAGACGAUCUAUUUGAGCUGUCAUGGCCAUCCCGAUGUCCUUGUCAACGGGGGGUUAUAUUAAAAUUUAAGUUUACAAGCUUGUACGAUCAUUGGGAAUCUGUAUAUUACAGGGUCUUAGUCUUAGUUAUAAUGUUUGCUUUUAGGUUUGCGGUGUGAAUCCGAUAGCGUGGUUGCGAGAACUGGAUGGAGGAAGCUUCAAUGUUCGUUGGCUUUUAGAUAUUUAGUGGAACUAUGAGACGAACAAUAAGUUCUUCUGGUAUCUUGUCUUUUAUUUUCCCAAAUGUCUUUUAUCUUUCCUUCUUUUUCUUCAACACACAUUGCAAAAGUGUUAUGAUUCUACAGGAUCAGGGAGGUUGAUUCUAGUUGGAGGUGGCUACUCAUAUGUAUAUGUCAUAAGUGCUUUUUUAUGGUCAUGAAUAUUUCACAUGCAUUGCAAUCUUGUUUUCAAUAUACAAGAUUAAAAGGUGAAUUCGAUCAUGAGCACAUCACAAGUGGGGGGCUGGGGUGUAUAAUACCAAUUCAAAUUUAAGUUUAAAAGCAUGAUAGGCAUGUAACAUAUAUAAUAUCCUAAUCUAGCUAACAUUCAUUUUAGGCUGGCGGUGCGACUCCAGUACUAGGGCGGCCGAGAAUGUGUGGAGGUUUGAAGGAUUUGGACGGAUGAUUCAAGUCGGACGAGGCUAUUUGCGUUCCUCUCUCCUAGUUAUGAUUCAUUUUAGGUUGAGGGUUUGAAAUGGAAACUUGGGUUAUUGAGGCUUGAGGCAGGUCUCGCGAUUUUGAAACACUACAUUCAUUUUGUUUUGCAUAGGGUUUUUCAUAUUUAAAUUAGUGUUUUAAGGUUUUGAUUACACAGUUUAUUGGAGUGGAAUUAAUGAUCUUUGCUGUAUCAUUGUCAAAACUUAGUUUUCAUUUCUUUGUUUUAUAUGUUUUGAAAUGAAUGCUGAAUUUUUGGAUGGUUUUCUUGUUUUUCAAGAAGAUACAAUGUUCCUUAGBUUGAAUAUAUUCGGUGGUUUUAAUGAUGAAUAAUUUCUUCCAAAUUCCUAACUUUUUUACUCCAAAAUGACUUGUCUUUUUUGUUUUCCCUCUUAUUUUAUUCAUUACAUACAUUCAAAUGUGUUAUGAAUCGGUACAGGAUUCGCAACGCAGAGUUCAAUUGUAUAUGACUUUUCAAAUGUCCAUCUCAUGRGGGAAUUUUACGGUUAUGCAUAUUCUAAUUAAAAGUUAAUUGCUUCUGUCACCAGGGUUUUUUUUUAUGGUUAUUCAUAUUUCAAUUAAAAAUUAUAAGCAUGAAUAUAGGAUCUUAGUCUACUAAAUAUUCCAUGUAGGGUGGCAGUGUGAAUUCGAUGGCAAGGAUGUUUAGGUUUGGCGAGGGUUUAAAGAUUAUCUGAAGCUAGUUUCCUUUUGUUAAUUACAACUAGUCUAUAUAUCUUUAAAUCCAUUGUCAGGGAGAUUGGGUGUCUUUUGGAAUGCAAAUAUUUUGAAGAUCGAAUUGGUGAAAAAUAAGUUCUCCUAAUUUCCUAAGAUUGGAAGGUCAAUUUCGGCAGGACCUGCUWUUUAGAAGUCUCAAUGAUAAUGGGGUUAUCAUGUUUAUCCAUAUUCUGAAUUAGGUUUAUGAUCAUGGCAAAAAUUGAGAAGAUAGGA